GACGAACGCUGGCGGCGUGCUUAACACAUGCAAGUCGAACGGAAAGGCCCUGCUUUUGUGGGGUGCUCGAGUGGCGAACGGGUGAGUAACACGUGAGUAACCUGCCCCUGACUUUGGGAUAACUUCAGGAAACUGGGGCUAAUACCGGAUAGGAGCUCCUGCUGCAUGGUGGGGGUUGGAAAGUUUCGGCGGUUGGGGAUGGACUCGCGGCUUAUCAGCUUGUUGGUGGGGUAGUGGCUUACCAAGGCUUUGACGGGUAGCCGGCCUGAGAGGGUGACCGGCCACAUUGGGACUGAGAUACGGCCCAGACUCCUACGGGAGGCAGCAGUGGGGAAUAUUGCACAAUGGGCGGAAGCCUGAUGCAGCAACGCCGCGUGCGGGAUGACGGCCUUCGGGUUGUAAACCGCUUUCGCCUGUGACGAAGCGUGAGUGACGGUAAUGGGUAAAGAAGCACCGGCUAGCUACGUG
rnacentral:rRNA from 1 species